AUCAGGUUGAAACAGCAGUUCCCAUAUGAUCACCAGAGUUAAGCAAAGUCAUGCUGGGUCAGUACCUAGAUGGGUGACUGCUUAGGAAUACCAGGUCCUGUAA